GGUGAACGCUGGCGGCGUGCCUAAUACAUGCAAGUCGAGCGACCAGACAAGGAGCUUGCUCCUCUGCCGUUAGCGGCGGACGGGUGGGUAACACGUGGAUAACCUACCUAUAAGACUGGGAUAACUUCGGGAAACCGGAGCUAAUACCGGAUAAUAUAUUGAACCGCAUGGUUCAGUAGUGAAAGACGGUUUUGCUGUCACUUAUAGAUGGAUCCGCGCCGCAUUAGCUAGUUGGUAAGGUAACGGCUUACCAAGGCGACGAUGCGUAGCCGAUCUGAGAGGGUGAUCGGCCACACUGGAACUGAGACACGGUCCAGACUCCUACGGGAGGCAGCAGUAGGGAAUCUUCCGCAAUGGGCGAAAGCUUGACGGAGCAACGCCGCGUGAGUGAUGAAGGUCUUCGGAUCGUAAAACUCUGUUAUUAGGGAAGAACAAAUGUGUAAGUAACUAUGCACGUCUUGACGGUACCUAAUCAGAAAGCCACGGCUAACUACGUG
rnacentral:rRNA from 1 species